GCUGUUUGUGUAUCUGGUCCUGCUAUUUAUUGGAAGUUCAAGAAAUUAAGAGUAAUAAAAGAAUGCUCAAUCUUGUAUGCCUUGUAAAUGUGAUUGCACUCCUCCUCUCUCCCUUCUUGAAGUGGCUCCUGGUAUGUAAUUUAGCUUAUUUUAGAUCCAAGAUCCUAUUUUUAUGCUUUUAUUUACAUAAAGAUCCUAUUUUUAUGCUUUGUUACUUGGUUUCCUUUUGUGGGGUUUCUUUAUUUGAUUCAUUCUUUAUGUUUAUACAUAUGUUACUUGGUUUCCUUUUCUGUGUUUUCCUUGUUUGAUUCAUUCUUUUGAAUGGUGUUAGUUUUAUUGUAAGUUUCGAGGAUCUUGUCUUUGCUGAUUUGGGUUAUGUCAUAUGGGCAUUAGUACUUAUUUUUCUUGGGUGUUUUCCUAGGUUGAAUUGGACUUAGGUUAUAAUCUUUAGAUUGAUGGUAGAUUUUUGGUUACAUGUUAAGAGUUGAUUAAGUAACCUCUUAAUUAUCAUGUUCACUGUUAUGUUUUGCUUCAACAAACUGCUCUAUUGCUCCCAAGUUUCAACCAAUUUUUGUGAUUUACUUAUCAAAAGAUCCUAUUUUUAUGCUAUACUUAUCAAAAGAUCCUAAUUUUAUACGUUUGUUGUUUGAUUUCCUUUUUUGCGUUUUCUUUGUUUGAUUCUUUCUUUUGCGUGGUGUUAGUUUUGUUGUGAGUUUUGAGGGUCAAAUUUGAGGAUCUUGUUUUUGGUGAUUUGGGGUUCUUGUACUGUUAUAUGGCAUCGUCUUUUUUUGGUAUUUUCUUAGGUUGAGGCUGGAUUGUGGGUUAUGAUGUUUAGAUUGAUGGUAGAUUUUUGGUUACAUGUAAAGAGUUUAUUAAGUUACCUCUAAAUUUUCAUGUUCAUUGUUAUGUUUUCCUUCAACAAACUGCUCUAGUGGUCUAAGUGUCGACCUAUUUUUAUGCUUUACUUAUCAAAAGAUCCUAUUUUUAUGCUGUACUUAUCAAAAGAUCCUAUUUUUAUACGUUUGUUGUGUGAUUUCCUUUUUUGGGUUUUCUUUGUUUGAUUCAUUCUUUUGCGUGGUGUUAGUUUUGUUGUGAGUUUUGAGGGUCAAGUUUGAGGAUCUUGUCUUUGGUGAUUUGGGGUUCUUGUACUGUUAUAUGGCAUCAUCUUUUUUUGGUAUUUUCUUAGGUUGAGGUUGGAUUGUAGAUUAUAAUGUUUAGAUUGACGGUAGAUUUUCGGUUACAUGUAAAGAGUUUAUUAAGUAACCUCUUAAUUACCCUGUUCACUGCUAUCUUUUACUUUAAACAAACUGCUCUUUGACUGUCAAGUUUCUACCAAUUGGUUCUUGGAAAUAUCAGAUGCCGGUGAGAAGCAGAUUGUAGCAUUGGUAUUGGAUUUGGUUGGCCUAAAGACCCUUCUGGUCCAUCUCUUUUGCACUGAUUGUGUUCAAAGAUGUGAUAAGGUAGAAGUGGAAUGAAGGUCUUGCCUCUAAAAAAACUAGACACUUUUAGAUAAAAUAAAUGGCUAAUCUUAUUAUUAUUGCUAGACUUGGUAAAGCUUGAGGUCAGAUCGGAUGUAGUAGAAGCUUAAGAGAAGCUUUGAUUGACGAUGUGCUCUGAUACCAUGAAGGAAAAUAAGGGAGCGGUGCGUAGUUAUUGUUGCAAAGAGCUCUCCGCUACAAUUUUUCCUUCCUGGUUUCAGAGUUCGUUGAUCAAGCCUCGCCUUAAGUUUCUACCUUUUUGGCCCAUAAUUAAGCAAACUAUGAAGAAAAUAAGCUUCGUAAAUAUGUGAUUUUAUGCUUAUGUGGUAACAAGUACAGAAAAAGUCUAAGGAAGUAAAUGGUUCUCUAAUGUUGUCUUUAGUAUCGGAUUUGGUCGAUGCUAUCCUUUAAACUAGCCUCGGAGGCUGGUAAAAAUAUUAAAGGUGCAUGACGGGGUGUGUUCUGCUUUUGCAUUUUGGUUAAAUCCAGAAAGGAGAACAGAUGAAUCAAUGCUUUCAUUAACUAACUUGUUCCGCUUGCACUUUGUCAGAAACUUGUCCUUCUCGCUAAAAGUGGGGAUGAAGGUCUUGCCUCUAAAAGGAUCAGGCAUUGUUUAGAUAAUUAAAUGGAAAAUCUUAUGAUUAUUGCUCGAGCUUAGUAAAGAUUGAGGUCAGAUCGGAUGUAGUAGAAACUUGAGUGAAACUUUGAUUGACAAGCUCUGAUACCAUGUAGGAAAAUAAGUGAGCCGUGUUGUUAGCUACUGUCACAAGGAGCUCUCUGCUACCAUUUUGCUUUCAUGGUUUCAAAGUUUGUUGAUUAGGCCUCGCCUUAAGUUUCUACUUUUCUGUUCCCAUAAUUAAGCAAACUAUGAAGAAAACGAGAGAAAUCCUUUUAUCCCACUCGUGAAACUUGAGUUUCUUAAAAGACAAACUAUUGAGUAUUUGGUCGAAGCGAAAUGGGUAUAGUGGUUUUUGUUUAUAAGUACAAGGUAAUUUAUUGAUAUUUCUCCCGAUAUUGAUCUGGUACAAAGAGCGGAAUGGGACAUAGGAUGUUGUGAAUGGGCCUGGACCAGUAUUGGCAAAGCAGCCCAACAUUGGGUUAGUGACUAUGUUUGGGAUCUGGGUUGAUAAAUAGCGACUUAUGGAAGCAAAAUAGGCUUAUGCGUAUUGUUGAGAAAAUGUCUAAUGUAACAAAGCAAAUCACACACACUUCUAAUACUUCAACAGUGACAAGGAUGUUACGACUAAACUCAAACUACUACAGGAUUUAGAAAUACUAAACUGAAAUACAACACUAAGGAGGAACAGAUAGGGAUGGGAAGACGGAAGAUACACAAAUAGAAAUAUGGAGAUGAGAAGCUUAGACUCAGAGGAAGGGGAUGAGAGGAACAAACAUUUUCUCCACAGUACGCAUAAGCCUUUGCUCCCAUAAGUCGCUAUUUAUCAACCCGGAUCCCAAACACAGUCACUUAAUCCAGUGUUGGGCCGCUUUGCCAAUACUGGUCCAGGCCCAUUCACAACAUAGGAUCUAUGUAGACGACACCUGCUAGUUUUGGUUGAGGCAUAGUUAUUGUUGUUGUAGAGGUUCAAAAAUCUGUCUUUGCUGAAAAGUAAGGGCUGAAGAAUGUGGACUUCAAUUACAUGCAACAUAUAUCCGAUGUUCAUUAAUUACUCCUUAUAUUCUUUUCCAAAUGCCUCUAAAAGUACGAUGCAAAGUUUCCAU